AAUGAACGUUGGCGGCGUGGAUUAGGCAUGCAAGUCGAGCGGGAGUAGCAAUACUCUAGCGGCGAAAGGGAGAGUAAUACGUGGAUACCUACCCUCAGGUUCGGGAUAGCUACGGGAGACUGUAGGUAAUACCGAAUAACAUCUCCGGAUCAAAGGUGUGAUUCCGCCGGAGGAGGGGUCCGCGUCCUAUUAGCUUGUUGGCGAGGUAACGGCUCACCAAGGCAAAGAUGGGUAUGGGGUGUGAGAGCAUGGCCCCACUCACUGGGACUGAGACACUGCCCAGACACCGACGGGUGGCUGCAGUCGAGAAUCUUCGGCAAUGGGGGCAACCCUGACCGAGCGACGCCACGUGCGAGAUGAAGGCCUUCGGGUUGUAAAUCGCUGUCAGAGGGGAGGAAAUGCUAGUGGGUUCUCCCACUAGUUUGACCUAUCCUCAGAGGAAGGACGGGCUAAGUUCGUGCCAGCCGCCGCAGUAAUAC
rnacentral:rRNA from 1 species